AAGUAUUUAAUAAGCUCAUUUGGGAAAGAAAUUUUGAAUCUUCUCUCCUCUGAAUUCAGCUUGUUAUAAUAGCUGCAUUGAUGAAUAAUCAACAUUCCGUCCUCCUUUCUUCCCAGAAUUUUAGGGUAUCUCUGUGGAGAUCUUGAGAUAUGUUUGUAUAAGGCAGACUAUCAGCUCCUAUGUGUGGUGUAUGGUUGUGGAUGAAGAAAGAUUGUAAUUGCCUUUGUGUUCUGCAGUUAAAAGCUUUGGACCUGUAAUGGAUAUCAGAAGUGACUGGAAGCCUUGAGGAUAAGAAUCAGAUCAUGAUGUUAUUGUAACAUCACACUGAUCUUUGCAAAGGAUUAGAGUUAGCCUUGAGAAUGUUGCCAUCCAUUUGAUUAAAAUAAUUUAGGACUAAAUAUUAUUUCUGAAACAAAUGGUUGGAACUACUAUCAAAGUUAAAACUUGAAAAUUUUAGUUUCUGGCUAAGCCCUAAUGUUUCUCUAGGCCAUAUCUACUACUUGAACUUUCUAUUCUAGAUGGAAGUUGAAAAUGCUUUCACAUAAUGAUCAGAAGAAGGCUUACUGAAAUAUUCACAUCAGGAUGGUGGACAUUUGACAUUAGAGAUUCAAAUUAGGCUUUACAGGUUCUGACAACUCCUUAACAACUUUAGUGUUGUAGUACAAUUUUAGAAAAUAUUUUGCCUUCAGAUUUAUCUAUAUGUUUAAAUUCGUGAUAGUUCCAAAUGUCUUACUAACUGGAUGAAAACAAGAAGUUUUUCAAAAGAGUGACAUUUCACAUUAUUUCUUUAAUAUCACACAUUCAAACAAGGAUAUCCCUCACCUGUGCUAAGAAAUAGAACUGAGUCAAACAAAACGGCUCAUCUGAGACCAUAAACUGCAGUACGCCAAAAGAAAAGAUGUUGGUGAUUUGCAAAAAUCAAUGGGGACAUGAAUAUAACUGCCAGAAUUAUGAGUUGUUAUGGGUUCUGUCUGUCUCUGAAUAUCCCUAUUAAAA
rnacentral:lncRNA from 1 species